rnacentral:rRNA from 1 species
AUGGCGACGUCCACGGAGGGCUUGACGGCGCGCUUCCUCUCGUGGAGGCUCAUGGCGCCGUUACCGAAGGAUGUGCUCGUGUGUGCCUGGAGCUGCAGGCCGAGGAGGAGGUUCUUGAGGAAGGCCUGCUUGAAGGACUUGGUGUACCAGACACAAGACACAGGGGCGCUCCUGCUGCUUAAAUAUGAGUGUCUCCGGCAUCCAUGUGGAUGUGGUGUCACUAAAAGACGCCUUGCCUAA